UUGGGGGAUACUUUCCAUUUUAAAAUUGUUUUUGAGCCUUAAUUGGUGAGCCCAAGGGGCCCACCCCUUAUUUUGUCCCCCCUGCCGUGUCCCUCCUUCCUUCUUUCUUCUUUUUCUUUUUUCUUCUUUUCCUUCUUUUCUUUUGUUGUCUGCACCUUUUUCCUUUCUUUUCGAAAACUCUCAUUCCUCUUCUUCUUCUUCUUCUACCCGUGACAACCACACACACACACACACCCACAGCUACACCUACUCGAGGAAAUCAUCACCAUCAUCGCCGUUGAACUGCUUCUCUCUCUCUCUUUCUCUCUCCCCUGCUCGCAGUGCCGGAGUACGCCGAGCACCUCCGGCGAGUUUUGGUUGUUUUUCCGGUUGGGUUUUGGAGUGCUUUGGCACGAGUGAAGGCACCCAAAUUUUCCGGCGAGUGUGUGUGGUUUCCGAGGGUUUUCCGGCCACCACAAGCCGUUUCACGGCGAACCCAAGGGGCAAUUAUCGAUGACGUUUCCUUCUUCGCUAGAUGACGUGGCUUUUCGACGGUGAAG